GAGUAGGAGGAGGAGGAGGAGGAAUGGGUGGACGUGGCUACAGAGGAGGCUGCUCUCAACAUCAUCCAAAAGUAGCUCCAGGGCAGAGAAAAGCUGCAGGAUGAGGCCCAGCAACUCAUGUUCCUUCACGCCAUCCACCCCAUGUCUCACUGCACAGCAGAAAAGGCAGGUCACACUGGAGCCGCACUGCUGCCCUUCUAUGAAAUGAACUGGUUGAGUCUGCUCCAGUUCUCUCGUCUGUAAUCAGGAGGCUAAAAUGAAUGAGGGAUGGUCUUAUGAUUACAACAUGGCCAGGGCUGGCUCCAGCUUUUCUGCUGCCCCAAUCCGCAAAAUAAGAAAAAGAAAAA